rnacentral:rRNA from 1 species
UAGAUACCCGCCUAUUCAUGAAAUAAAUAAAAGCCGGAUAUUACGAACAGUAGUUUAAAAUUCAAAGAUUUUGGCGGUGUCUUAUUUAACCAGGGGAACCUGUCUCAUAACUCGAUAAUCCACGUACACCAACCCUUCUCUAGAUUUCAGCAUGUAUACUGCCGUUGUAAGCACACCUUUAAAAGAAUGAGUGUGCCACCAUGAGCUCACGUACAUCAGGUCAAAGUGCAGCUAAUAAGAAGGUGAUGAUGGGUUACAACCCUAAAAUAGAACAUCAAAUAAGAAAUAAAAACUCCUACAAAAGUGGACUUGGCUGUAAUCAAUUUUUAUUAAAAAAAAAUGAAUAAAAAUCUAAGACAUGCACACAUCGCCCGUCACUCUACCCCCAAGGAUAGAUAAGUCGU